rnacentral:rRNA from 1 species
GACAGAGGGUGCGAACGUUGUUCGGAAUUACUGGGCGUAAAGCGCGUGUAGGCUGUCACGCAAGUCGGGUGUGAAAGCCCGGGGCUCAACCCCGGAAGUGCACUCGAAACUGCAUGACUUGAGUCUCGGAGAGGGCGGCGGAAUUCUGGGUGUAGAGGUGAAAUUCGUAGAUAUCCAGAGGAACACCGGUGGCGAAGGCGGCCGCCUGGACGAGCACUGACGCUGAGACGCGAAAGCGUGGGGAGCAAACAGG